UCGAGCGCGAAUAGGGGCAACCCUUAGUAGAGCGGCGCACGGGUGCGUAACACGUGGAUAAUCUGCCUGGAUGCCUGGGAUAACCAGUCGAAAGAUUGGCUAAUACCGGAUAAGCCCACGGUCUCUUCGGAGGCUGAGGGAAAAGGUGGCCUCUGUAUACAAGCUAUCACAACCAGAUGAGUCCGCGGCCCAUCAGCUAGUUGGCGGGGUAAUGGCCCACCAAGGCGACGACGGGUAGCUGGUCUGAGAGGACGAUCAGCCACACUGGAACUGAGACACGGUCCAGACUCCUACGGGAGGCAGCAGUGGGGAAUUUUGCGCAAUGGGCGAAAGCCUGACGCAGCAACGCCGCGUGUGUGAUGAAGGUCUUUGGAUUGUAAAGCACUUUCGACCGGGACGAAACCGUAAAGCCUAAUACGCUUUGCCUUGACGGUACCGGGAGAAGAAGCACCGGCUAACUCUGUGCCAGCAGCCGCGGUAAUACAGAGGGUGCAAGCGUUGUUCGGAAUUAUUGGGCGUAAAGCGCGUGUAGGCGGCUUUGCAAGUCGGGUGUGAAAGCCCUCAGCUCAACUGAGGAAGUGCGCCCGAAACUGCAGAGCUUGAGUGCCGGAGAGGGUGGCGGAAUUCCCCAAGUAGAGGUGAAAUUCGUAGAUAUGGGGAGGAACACCGGUGGCGAAGGCGGCCACCUGGACGGUAACUGACGCUGAGACGCGAAAGCGUGGGUAGCAAACAGGAUUAGAUACCCUGGUAGUCCACGCCGUAAACGAUGAGAACUAGGUGUCGUGGGAGUUGACCCCCGC
rnacentral:rRNA from 1 species